rnacentral:rRNA from 1 species
CCUACGGGUGGCAGCAGUGGGGAAUAUUGCGCAAUGGGCGAAAGCCUGACGCAGCGACGCCGCGUGAGGGAUGAAGGUCUUCGGAUCGUAAACCUCUGUCAGCAGGGAAGAACGGUCACUGUGCUAAUCAGCAGUGAAUUGCCGGUACCUGCAAAGGAAGCACCGGCUAACUCCGUGCCGGCAGCCGCGGUAAUACGGAGGGUGAGAGCGUUAAUCGGAAUUACUGGGCGUAAAGCGCUCGUAGGUGGUAUGUCAAGUCAAGGGUGAAAUCCUCGGGCUCAACGUGGGAACUGACUUUGAAACCGGCAAACUAGAGUGUGUGAGAGGAUAGUGGAAUUCCAGGUGUAGGAGUGAAAUCCGUAGAUAUCUGGAGGAACAUCAGUGGCGAAGGCGACUAUCUGGCACAUAACUGACGCUGAGGAGCGAAAGCGUGGGUAGCAAACAGGAUUAGAUACCCUUGUAGUC